CUCACACUGUUAGUGAUAGGAUUUCUCCUGCUGCCCAUCUCUCUCACUGGUCCCAUAGGUUCUCACACUGCACUCAUCAGGUUACACGAACUAUUAAUGAGGUAUUGAAAAAGAGCCACAUUCACAGAAGUGAAAACACCGGUGUAUACACAUUAACCAGCAUCACGAGCCAAACAUGUUACCUGAGACCUUCAGAACCAGGAAAGAGACUCAGUCAUGCAAAUACCAGUGAUUUCAGUACUACUUUGGUACCAAAAGGCACUUUUCUGCAGCAUGGAUAUGCAAAAUUGAACACAAACAAAACUGCUAAUGACCAUAAAGCUCUGAAAAAGAACAGGCAGAAAGGACCAUCCCUACGGCAUCUCUUACCAAAGAAAAGGAUUAAAAGAGGGCUUCAGCUGACAGCAGUGAAUGCAAACACGCCGGCAUCAGUCAGGACAAGCUCCCUGCCUGAGGUCACCACCUCCACACAGGUGCUGCCCUCUCAUUUCUACUCGGGGAAAAAAGAGUAGAGGGGGACAGCAAAGUUUCAGCUUACCGCAUUGAGCCCCAGGGAGUUGUAGGGCAGAGAGGAGGUGACUCCGGACAGGAUGGCGGUGGCCACCACUGCCCCCAGGCACUGGGCGAGGAUGUACAUCAGCGCCUUGAAGAUGCUGAUCUGGCAGCUCAGCAGGAGGCCCAGGGUCACCGCCGGGUUCAAGUGGGCACCGCUGAUGUGGCCCACGCUCUGCGCCAUGGUCGCGAUGGAUAACCCAAAAGCCAGCGAAACCUUCACGUUGUCCUGAGUUGCUGAUGUCCCGUUGACUGACACUGGGAAAUUAAAACCCAGAGCCGAGCCAAUGCUGAUAAAAAUAAAGAGGAUCAUGGCGAGGAACUCAGCCACCACCGCCCUCCAGAACAUUUUCUUUUUGAAUUCACUGGCCAUCUCUCCUCUUUCUCUGCCCUCUUUCUCUUCUGUUUCUUUCCCCUGCCUGAUAUUUUCCCUUCGAGGUCUGAAGAGAAAGCUGGAGAAAAAAUACGGUCCUUGGAUUAUUUAUAGGGCUUUGGGUGGUCUGUAGGAGGGAAGGGGUGUUGCACAAAAGGAGGAAAGAACAUCUACAUCGAUGCUGACUGCUAGAUUGAUGUCGGAGCAAGGGCUGUCGCGGGGUCUCUGCCUGACACAGGGCUGAAAGGAGACGCGCUCCGCUGAGUUACCGCGCUCAGCUCCACAGCAGCUGGGGGACAUCCAGCAGUAGUAAACGCAGCUGACAACUACAUCUGCACUCUAGAGAUGGAAAGAUCCCCGUUUCGUUUGAAAACAGAUAGACAAGUCUCUCCGGCUGGCUCCCCGAGGACCGGGUGCAUUUUGGAUGCCAUCCUGACCACGGACGGACAGACACAGAGCAACACGCACUGAUCUGAGCUGACUGAGGCAGGGAUCGCUCCCCACCUCCGUGACCGCUGUGUAAAUCGGACCAGACACCGCAGCAAGGGGAAGCUUUCCGUGGCCGUGGGUGCCGAAAGAUAGGUUUAUUUUUACUAUUAUUUAAUGAUUUAAUUUACCUAAUCUCAGGGUUUCCCAAUCAGCAAAGCAGCCGCUCAGGGGCUCCCCAGCCCACAUCCUGCAGUGAAAGCACAGCAGAACAUCAGUUGUCACCAGCGAGACUGAAACGGGGACGGAAGGGGAGCGCGAGGGAGAAGGGGCAUUAUUACAUGCUUGAUUUUGCAGACAAAAUGAAUCACCCGACAGAGCCAGAAUAUCCUCUGGAGCAAAAGGUCUCACCGCUCCGGGCGUUAUCGCGGCAGGACGUGUGUGCAUGCCUUGGAUUAACCCUUGUGCUCUCAGAACGCUGCGGGUUGAGCGGCUGCUGAUAGCUUAUUCUGUAAGCCAGGGGGCUUCCUCGGACUUACAGCUGUGCAGCAGUCGAUCCAGAGGCAGAAACAAAGUCCCCGGGCACAAGUCUUGAAAGAAGAACACCAAAAAUCAUCCCACUCCUCCUUUUUCUUCUUCUUCCCUCGAUGCGCCGCUGCCAGAUUCUAAAUUGCACUUAAGUUAGUUUGAAGUUUUUCACUUGGGCAAUGUGUCACUACGGGAAUAAAACUAAAUACACACCUGGAUAGCAUUAGAUAAUUGACAAAUGCCUUUUUUUAAGCAUAUUUCUCUUUCUGAAGAUGAUUCAGAUUCAAGUUUGAAUAAAAAUCUGGGUAUCCUCAGCCAUUGUCCCCAUGUCAUUAUUCUUUCUAGUCUUCAGAUGUUUCUGAUUUUCUGAAUAAGUAGUUUUAUUUUGUUCUGUUUUAUAAUGUGCUUAUACAACAGCACUGCACAAAUCACACAAAAAAAAAAAGGGGGGAAGGGGGGGGAAGGAGGGGAGAAGCAGUGAAAUAGGGACAAGUUAAUUGUUGGCUUCAUCCUUCUAAUUACAGUGGAACUGCAAUGAGGCACAAAGUGACAGAUGAAUCAAAAUUCAAAUUUAGACAAGUUUCACGGUGGAAUUUUAGGAUUAAAAUGUCAAUGCUGGUUGUAUUCCGUUCAGCAGGACAUUUUGUUUACUGUUUUGCAAACUGUUCCUAAGACCUGCAGAUCAUACGUGACCAGCUUCCCUGGCCCUACCACCAGAUGCCCAAGGCAUACAUCACACACCUCCGGGAAAGAAGAGCUCUAUGAAUAGUUUACAAGAGCAAGUACUUUCCAUGCGUCCCAAAUUGGCACCUGUGGGAUGGAGCUGCCCAUCCCAUUCACUGUGUCCACAGGAAACUCCCUCUUUACUCACUUCUUCCUACAAUUAGGGUCUGGAUGACCAAACAACCUCUGUCCCAGUACUGAUAAGGUGAGAAGGAAUCCCUCAAAGGAAAAUUACUAGAAGCCAGGAAAAUGGGCUGGGGAAGUGUUUCAGACGCCUGUUUGAUUCAUUCAGUCUCCCUUAGGUAUCCCUAGGAGUCCAGUAGCAGAGAUGGGGUACAGGGCAAGCAAAACCUUUAGUCUUUUGUGAGAUAGCUUUGGCAUAUGUGGGUAAUGCACAAAUUCAGUGUUCCUCAAGAGCAAUAAAUUGCUCACCCUCCUCUAGAGUUAGUUAGUUAAUUUUCCUCCUGAGACUCUUGAUAGAUCUCUCUGCAGCUACUACCCACCCUCCAUUUCAUAUCUUGGAAUGCCACCAGAAGACAAUUAAUGAUUAACACUGUCAUACAGAUUUAGAAACAAUAUAUAUAUAUUUAUAUUUUAAGGAGCUGAAACAAAAUAAAGACAAAAAUGUUACAUAGAAACAUGGAAAAUGCACAGCUGGGGAGUUGUUAGCCAGUCUUACCUGAUGUGAAUGAUGUCAUGAUCAUUGCUGCUAUCUUGUUAACUAAUUGCUGACAUGGUGGUGAUAGCAGUACUGUGAGAAGACAUGCAGCAGACAUUGUCUUGUCAUUGUCAGACAUAGGUGAGCCACCAAGGGCAGAUGGUGUCCAAAGAACAAAUAUUCUGCACAUGAAACAGAG
rnacentral:lncRNA from 1 species